rnacentral:rRNA from 1 species
UACGGGGGGAGCAAGCGUUGUUCGGAUUUACUGGGCGUAAAGCGCGCGUAGGCGGUUUGUUAAGUCAGCUGUGAAAGCCCCGGGCUCAACCUGGGAACUGCAGUUGAUACUGGCCGACUGGAGUGCGAGAGAGGGAGGUAGAAUUCCAUGUGUAGCGGUGAAAUGCGUAGAUAUAUGGAGGAAUACCGGUGGCGAAGGCGGCCUCCUGGCUCGACACUGACGCUGAGGUGCGAAAGCGUGGGGAUCAAACAGG